rnacentral:rRNA from 1 species
GACGAACGCUGGCGGCGUGCUUAACACAUGCAAGUCGAACGGAAAGGCCCUGCUUUUGUUGGGUGCUCGAGUGGCGAACGGGUGAGUAACACGUGAGUAACCUGCCCUUUACUUUGGGAUAACUUCAGGAAACUGGGGCUAAUACCGGAUAGGAGCUCCUGCUGCAUGGUGGGGGUUGGAAAGUUUCGGCGGUUGGGGAUGGACUCGCGGCUUAUCAGCUUGUUGGUGGGGUAGUGGCUUACCAAGGCUUUGACGGGUAGCCGGCCUGAGAGGGUGACCGGCGACAUUGGGACUGAGAUACGGCCCAGACUCCUACGGGAGGCAGCAGUGGGGAAUAUUGCACAAUGGGCGGAAGCCUGAUGCGGCAACGCCGCGUGCGGGAUGACGGCCUUCGGGUUGUAAACCGCUUUCGCCUGUGACGAAGCGUGAGUGACGGUAAUGGGUAAAGAAGCACCGACUAACUACGUG